rnacentral:tRNA from 1 species
GGAGAGGUGGCUGAGCGGUCGAAAGCGGCGGUCUUGAAAACCGUUGAGGGCAACCCCCUCCCAGGGUUCGAAUCCCUGCCUCUCCG